rnacentral:rRNA from 1 species
UACGAAGGGGACUAGCGUUGUUCGGAAUCACUGGGCGUAAAGCGCACGUAGGCGGAUAUGUCAGUCAGGGGUGAAAUCCCGGGCUCAACCUCGGAACUGCCUUGAUACAGCAUGUCUUGAGUCCGAUAGAGGUGGGUGGAAUUCCUAGUGUAGAGGUGAAAUUCGUAGAUAUUAGGAAGAACACCGGUGGCGAAGGCGGCCCACUGGAUCGGUACGUGACGCUGAGGUGCGAAAGCGUGGGAGCAAACAGG